GCCAGCAGCCAUAUCACUCUGCAACCCACAACUGGCAACCCAGUGUGAGCCUGGUCAGUACCUGGAUGGGAGACCUCCUGGGAAAAAACUAAGGUUGCUGCUGGAA
rnacentral:rRNA from 1 species